rnacentral:lncRNA from 1 species
CUCAGGGGAAGCAACAGAUCGUCACUCGGUGUUCUCACCGAAAGCACGUAAUCGCCGGUGUAACUCAUGUUGGCUGGGGGGCCUCCCCGCGCGCAGAAAGGCUGGGGUGCGCCCCCGGGCAGCUCUCCUUUGCUCAGCUACAUGGUCCUGGUCCACGAGUGCUCUGAGGGCGGCAAGAGAGCGCAACUCCUGACGCCUCCCCCCACUCCCCGGGGUUCGGAGUGACUCCUCAGAGCCAGAGGCACUUCUGCUCACCGGUCCGCAAGCUGCCUGGUCUGCUGAAGCUGACGAAUCGGGAAACCAUGCAAUUGAGGCGAACCUUGGGCUGUUUUAGAGGCGCUGAGGAGCCUUCUCCUGGGAGGCCCAAGGUUGAUUUCAGCCCACCAGGAUCUGGGGAAGACCCAGCUAGGGAUAAGAGCACACCAAAAGGCCAAGUCCGAGUUCCAUUCCUAGAAGAGGCGGCUGCAGACAAGGCUAUGACAUUGGCCCUGGACAUUGGUUUCCCAGGAGCUGCUUUUUCUCAAGAACUCCACAGCACGGGGCUGUCUCCAGAAAACGCUCUUCAACGUUUAUUUCUUUUAAUCGUCGCCCGGAGCCCUAAGGCGGCUAAUGCAAGAGGCCAAAAAUGUUUGGAGGAAGAAAAACAAAGGCAGGAAGUGGCCGCGGCCUGACGGUGCGUGUGUGUCUGUAAAAGAGGGAGGGAGCCGGUUCAACCUCCCCUCGUUUUCCCGAACUUCAAGGUCUAGGCAGACCCCCUUAGGGCCUUGCCAAGGCUCCCCCCACACUCCCCCCCCCCCCGGCGGCGCAACGUUUGGAGGUGGCCAACGAUUUAAGCCUCGGUCGGGCUGAAAGGAGAUUUGAUCGGCAGAACAAACCAACCCUUUUCGGAGGUUUCUUUUGAUUUGGUCCUAAAGGGUAUAUACUAGUGCCCACAGCGGCUGGGGGUGGCUGCUGUUUUCCUCCCGCCGGGCUAAAAGUACCAAGAAGGGAGGGAGGGAGAGAGAUUCAGGCACCUUGCGCUGGCUGCACUCUCCUUCUGAGAUAGAAUAUCAGAAUAAAGUGUAUUCAGGUGCC